rnacentral:lncRNA from 1 species
AAGGGGAAGCCAAAAAAUUCUUACUCAUUGUGUUUUGUUAUUAUGUUCUGUAUGUGCUAUAGAUCUAUAAUUGCAAAUACUGAUAGGUUACUGUCUUACUAUAUGGAUGCCUUAUUUUUUUAUUUUAACAGGUUUUGUUUAACUGGAGUUAGAAGUAUGAUAGUAGGUGUCAUGCUGGACAAAAUUGAGUAUCAAACCAUGAUUGGGUUCCUUCAUCUUCAAGGAAAAACUGCACAAACAAGCCACAAAGUGAUGUCGGCUAUGUAUGACAAAGGAUGUCUGUCAUAUGAGACUAUAAGAUGAUGGAAAUGAAAUCUCAAAUAUGGUCAUAUCAACCUACAGGAUGACUCAAGAAGGCUGUCCACCAAGGUCUUGUUGUUUGUAUUUUGGGACAGCAAAGGUAUCAUAUUGAUAAAUAACUUACAAAAAGGGUCAACAGUAAUAGGAAUACUACAGGAACUUGCUAUAAAAGUUACAGGACAAUAUCAAGGAAUAAAGACUGAGUUUGCUGUCAAAAGAUGUGUUGCUGCUAGCUGAUAAUGUACCUGCAUACCAAGCUGCAGAAACAG